UACGAAGGCCCCGAGCGUUAUCCGGAUUUAUUGGGCGUAAAGAGCGCGUAGGUGGUUCAGUAAGUUUCGCGUUAAAUGCCAGAGCUUAACUUUGGCGCUGCGUGGAAUACUGCUGAACUAGAGGGUGUGAGAGGUACAUGGAACUCAUGGUGUAGGGGUGAAAUCCGUUGAUAUCAUGGGGAACACCGAAGGCGAAGGCAAUGUACUGGCACACUCCUGACACUCAGUGCGCGAAAGCGUGGGGAGCAAAAAGG
rnacentral:rRNA from 1 species